rnacentral:lncRNA from 1 species
UUGAACUUGAGAUACUUACAGGUAGGUGUCUGUUUACUGCUGACUAAAGGCUACUAUUCUCAGCUCCUGAAUCAGAUAAUAAACAUUACCAAAAUGACUUUUUUUAAAAAUACCUUUUAGUCAGCAAGAACCGAUUCAAAUCUGUUUGGCUUUACUCUUAGGUACGUUUUCUUUCUGUUGGAAGGACUAAGAUCAUUCUUGGGCUGCCAGCUUCAUGGAGGAAAAAGAGUUAUGGAUAAAGAGAAAUAUGAGAAGAGUGAGACUUUGUCCAAGAUCACCCAAUGAGGGGGAUUUAAACAGAGGGGAUCUGAUCCACGAGGCUCAUGAAUGCAGAGUCCCUGAAGCCUCUCAGUAGCAUCCUGCUGCUCGCUUGUCAGAGAUCAAGAGUUCACGUGGAUUUCCACUUGAGUCUCCGAGGUUCUGAGAUACAACCCUUCGGAGAGGUCUAAGCGAGGUGACUCCAUCUUGGUUUUGCAUCAUUCAAAGAGAAGAAAAGGGACUCACAGCAUGGCAGCAGGACCUUACCGUCUUGCCAAGCUGUAGAUGUGACUACUACUCUAUUGAUUUGAAAUUGUUGACAUAUUUUCUUCUCUUUGGUGAAUAGCUGUUGCCCUAAACCUUUGAGGGUCCCGCCCUGAUCCCGGGCCCAGUCCUCUCAAAUAUUUUAAAACAUUUUGAAUUUUUUGAAUAUAUUGCUCCGGCUAGUGUGUUUAAUUAUUUUAGCAAAUGACCAAGUUCUAAUAAAAAUAAAUUCAAUGAGCUUUGCAGAUCACACCAAGGUGAGUGAAAUAUUAAGACAAACUUGCCAGUCACAUAGGGUAAAUGGCUAGUAACUAACGGGUAUUGGUUUCAGAGGAGUGGGGUAGAAAUAUGGCAGUAAAUUCUCCGCACUUUGACUCUGAUGAUGAUCAUUGCCACUCCUCAUCUGUGCUCCAAAGGGCAAGGUGAGUGGAAAGAUGAGAAAGAGGAGAGUGCCUGGCUACACAGAGUAGUGUUCAAUACGUAUCUGUGACUGAAUACCGGACUACAUGACAAGUAGAAGAACCACCUCAGGAUAUUUGCUUUUAGGAGGGUUAAAUGAGAUAAUUAAUCGAUUAUCAUGCGACAAAUGUGAAGCAAUAGCUCCAUGUCAGAACUAAAAUCAAACUGUAAUUUUGGUGAUUCUGGACGCAAGGGAAAAGUUUUUAUAAUUUGCAUUUAUAACUUGCAAUGCACAUAGAGAAGAGACUUGCAGAGAUAGUGGGGGAAAGAGAGGGAGGGACGAAUUGAAAGGGUAACAUUGAAACAUAGACAUUACUAAAUGUAAAAUGGAUAGCCAGUGGUUUGUGAGUACCACUCCACUGAUUUGAAAUUGUUGACAUAUUUUCUUGGCUGCACCAAUUUACAUUCCAACCAGCACUGUACAAGGAUUCUUUUUCUCCACAUCCUUGCCAAUAUUUCUUACUUGUGGUCAUUUUAAUAGCC